rnacentral:rRNA from 1 species
AGUCAAUAGAUACCCGGGUAGUCCAUGCCGUAAACGAUGAUUGCUAGGUGUGGGGGUCUGACCCUUCCGUGCCGGAGUUAAACACAAAUAAGCAAUCCACCUGGGGAGUACGGCCGCAAGGUUGAAACUCAAAGGAAUUGACGGGGGCCGUGCACAAGCAGUGGAGUAUGUGGUUUAAAUUCGAAGCAACGCGAAGAACCUUACCAGGUCUUGACAUCCACCGAAUCCUGUAGAGAUACGGGAGUGCCCUCCGGGGAACGGUGAGACGGGUGGUGCAUGGUUGUCGUCAGCUCGUGUCGUGAGAUGUUGGGUUAAGUCCCGCAACGAGCGCAACCCUUGUGAAUAGUUGCUACGAAAGAGCACUCUAUUCAGACCGCCGUUGACAAAACGGAGGAAGGUGGGGAUGACGUCAAAUCAUCAUGCCCCUUAUGACCUGGGCUACACACGUACUACAAUGGCCGUUAACAGAGGGAUGCAAUGCCGCGAGGUGGAGCGAACCCCUAAAAACGGUCUCAGUUCAGAUUGCAGGCUG